GCAGCCACCGGCAGCGCGUGGGAGCCGCUCUUAUAGUGACCACCAGCAAGGACAAGGCAGGUGAUGCACCUGUAGCUGGCCAGGCAUGCGCACUGCACGCCUCACCUUUCCCACCGCGGGUCUGCAAAGAUCAGAGAGGCCAGCUAUUGUCUCGGGCCUGAGAGGGAAAUGAGAAGGAUGUUCAUUUGCUGGUGCAAGAAGGAGCCACUUCUUCAUCCAUUAUGUGAUUCCCCAGGGAGCGCUAAAUGCAACUUUAUCUCAGCAGGAAUGGACCAUGAGCGGGACAUCGCUGGAGGGAAAGAGUCAAACGAUCACUGUUGUCGGCUUAACAAGGCCACCGGCCCCUGGGCUUUAGGGCCCUGAAGAACAGGGGCUCCACUGCUCCAUCUGCGCCCUGCGGGCUCAAGGCUGGAGGAGCGCGCCGCCGUUCAGAGAAGGCGCGUCCAGGUCCCCGGGUUAAAAAAAACAACCACAGACAAACUCGUCCACAGGUACGCUGGCCCCUGACCCCACGCGACACGAUGCAAGUUCUGUAGCCUUCCCGUGUCAGACACCCGCUGACCGGCCGCUGGGUCCCAGACACACGCUCGCCCCGCUUUCGGGACCCGCUACCGGCGACGAGGACCAGCAGUUCCGGACAUCUCCAUCUGAGGAUGGAGAAGGGCGCGCUCGCCGGCCGGCCUCCGCUGGCUCCCCUCGGCCUCCAGAAACCGGAUCCCUCGAGGGUCUGGAAGCCGGGGAGGAAACCGCGCGGCAGCCAGUCCAAGCCCGGAAGUGCAGAGCUGGGUCCUGCCGCCCGGCUCUCCAGCUCGCUGCGCUGCCGCCAGCCGCCCCUCCUUCCCGCCGCCCGCACAAAUCAAAGCCCCUUGCGAGGGACUGGGAAAUAGUUGCCUUGUCAUGUAACACAUUGCCCUGAUUUAUUAUAAAAUUUUAACGAAAUCAUG